GUGCUUGUUUUGCAGUCCAUAUACCAAAGUUGGAAUGAUACAGAGAAGGUUAGCAUGGCCAGUGUGUAAAGAUAAUAUAUAAAUUCAUGAUGUGUUCCAUAUUAAG